AUUGAACGCUGGCGGCAGGCCUAACACAUGCAAGUCGAACGAGUGGCGGACGGGUGAGUAAUGUCUGGGAAACUGCCCGAUGGAGGGGGAUAACUACUGGAAACGGUAGCUAAUACCGCAUACCAUCGGAUGUGCCCAGAUGGGAUUAGCUAGUAGGUGGGGUAACGGCUCACCUAGGCGACGAUCCCUAGCUGGUCUGAGAGGAUGACCAGCCACACUGGAACUGAGACACGGUCCAGACUCCUACGGGAGGCAGCAGUGGGGAAUAUUGCACAAUGGGCGCAAGCCUGAUGCAGCCAUGCCGCGUGUAUGAAGAAGGCCUUCGGGUUGUAAAGUACUUUUAGCAGGGAAGCGGUACCCACAGAAGAAGCACCGGCUAACUCCGUGCCAGCAGCCGCGGUAAUUC
rnacentral:rRNA from 1 species